rnacentral:rRNA from 1 species
UUAGAGUUUGAUCAUGGCUCAGGACGAACGCUGGCGGCGUGCCUAACACAUGCAAGUCGAACGGACGAGGGGAGCUUGCUCCCCGAGUUAGUGGCGAACGGGUGAGUAACGCGUGAGGAACCUGCCUCUCAGUGGGGGACAACAGUUGGAAACGACUGCUAAUACCGCAUGAUAUAUUCGGACCGCAUGAUCUGAAUAUCAAAGCUUUAUGUGCUGAGAGAUGGCCUCGCGUCUGAUUAGCUAGUUGGUGGGGUAACGGCCUACCAAGGCGACGAUCAGUAGCCGGUCUGAGAGGAUGAACGGCCACAUUGGGACUGAGAUACGGCCCAGACUCCUACGGGAGGCAGCAGUGGGGAAUAUUGGGCAAUGGGGGAAACCCUGACCCAGCAACGCCGCGUGAAGGAAGAAGGCUUUCGGGUUGUAAACUUCUUUUACCAGGGACGAAGAACGUGACGGUACCUGGAGAAAAAGCAACGGCUAACUACGUGCCAGCAGCCGCGGUAAUACGUAGGUUGCAAGCGUUGUCCGGAUUUACUGGGUGUAAAGGGCGUGUAGGCGGAGAUGCAAGUUGGGAGUGAAAUCCCGGGGCUCAACCCCGGAACUGCUCCCAAAACUGUAUCCCUUGAGUAUCGGAGAGGCAAGCGGAAUUCCUAGUGUAGCGGUGAAAUGCGUAGAUAUUAGGAGGAACACCAGUGGCGAAGGCGGCUUGCUGGACGACAACUGACGCUGAGGCGCGAAAGCGUGGGGAGCAAACAGGAUUAGAUACCCUGGUAGUCCACGCUGUAAACGAUGAAUACUAGGUGUGGGAGGACUGACCCCUUCCGUGCCGCAGUUAACACAAUAAGUAUUCCACCUGGGGAGCACGACCGCAAGGUUGAAACUCAAAGGAAUUGACGGGGGCCCGCACAAGCAGUGGAUUAUGUGGUUUAAUUCGACGCAACGCGAAGAACCUUACCAGGAUUUGACAUCCAACUAACGAAGUAGAGAUACAUUAGGUGCCCUUCGGGGAAAGUUGAGACAGGUGGUGCAUGGUUGUCGUCAGCUCGUGUCGUGAGAUGUUGGGUUAAGUCCCGCAACGAGCGCAACCCCUAUCUUUAGUAGCCAGCAGUUCGGCUGGGCACUCUAGAGAGACUGCCAGGGAUAACCUGGAGGAAGGCGGGGAUGACGUCAAAUCAUCAUGCCCCUUAUGAUCUGGGCUACACACGUGCUACAAUGGUGACUACAAAGAGAAGCAAAGCUGUGAAGUGGAGCAAAUCUCAAAAAGGUCAUCUCAGUUCGGAUUGUAGUCUGCAACUCGACUACAUGAAGCUGGAAUCGCUAGUAAUCGCGAAUCAGAAUGUCGUGGUGAAUACGUUCCCGGGUCUUGUACACACCGCCCGUCACACCAUGGGAGUCUAAUAUGCCCGAAGUCAGUGACCCAACCGCAAGGAGGGAGCUGCCGAAGGUGGAGUAGAUGACUGGGGUGAAGUCGUAACAAGGUAACC